rnacentral:lncRNA from 1 species
UGGUAUGAGUGGUCCUUUGACCUAUGGUGUCAUUGGCUAUUCACAGCGAGGCUACUAGAUUUGACUGCAUGUUCUCUUGGUCUCUAACCAUUCGGGUCCUUGCUGUGUAUGUUGGCUUCAGUAGGUUCAGGUUCGCUGUUUGGAGUAGGAUGCACCUAGAUGGGAUCUAUCAACCUUGAUAGAAAAGGAGAAGUCCUAUGCGAUUUGUGAGAUUGAGUUCAGAAAGUUUUUGACUAAAAUAAGUGUGAAUACUAGAAAAAAG